rnacentral:rRNA from 1 species
AUUGAACGCUGGCAGAAUGCUUUACACAUGCAAGUCGAACGGCAGCACGGACUUCGGUCUGGUGGCGAGUGGCGAACGGGUGAGUAAUGUAUCGGAACGUGCCCAGUCGUGGGGGAUAACGUAGUGAAAAUUACGCUAAUACCGCAUACGAUCUAUGGAUGAAAGCGGGGGAUCGCAAGACCUCGCGCGAUUGGAGCGGCCGAUAUCAGAUUAGGUAGUUGGUGGGGUAAAGGCCCACCAAGCCAACGAUCUGUAGCUGGUCUGAGGGGACGACCAGCCACACUGGAACUGAGACACCGUCCAGACUCCUACGGGAGGCAGCAUUGGGGAAUUGUGGACAAUGGGCGAAAGCCUGAUCCAGCCAUUCCGCGUGCAGGAUGAAGGCCCUCGGGUUGUAAACUGCUUUUGUACAGAACGAAAAGGUUUCUACUAAUACUAGGAGCUCAUGACGGUACUGUAAGAAUAAGCACCGGCUAACUACGUGCCAGCAGCCGCCGUAA